AGUGACGCGUUUGUUGUCAUUCGUUAAAAGGCAUUGCAAUAGUAAAAAUGUCUAAAAACUUUGAAAGUUACGAUUUAGAGUCCCUUAAAAAAUAUCUCGCGGGUCGCGAAUCGUAUGAGGGACGACAAAAGCCUCAAUUUCGCCAGAAAAGAGUACGCGUAUGUGUUGACAAAAAUAUACCGAUGAUGAUUACCUAGAUAGUGAUGACAUGUGCAGUCCAACAAAAGCGCGGAAAAUCGCGAUAGGGUCAGGAUUGGAAUGCGAAGUGGAAGAUUUCCUUGUUGAUCCUUCUUGUGUAUGCAAAUAUAAAUUUCUCGAUGAAAUAUGGAAUAAAAUCCAUAUCAGAUAUCGCAGGGAUAAAUUACACUCUCAAGAUGAGGGCAUAGACAUGUGUACGACUUUUAAAAUAUGUUACAAUGAAGAACCUGCAGAAUCUAAUAAAGAAAUCGAAUCGAAUUUUCAAAUGAGAUAUAAUCCUCCAUCCUUGAGAAGCAUUGCAAUCGCGAAUUUAUUAAAUGGAAAGAAAUAUGCGAAAAAUGCAAAAACUUUGGCUGUGGUUACUAAAGCAAUUGUGCAUAAUAGUGAUGUAUUAUUAUAUAAAAUGUCGAAGUCAAAUGGUUUUUUCGACUGCAUAGAACACACAAGAUUAUGCAAAGCAGGAGUGGGGGAAAAACUCUAUUGGUACUACUUUUUUAGGGCGUGUGAGGAAGAAUAUUAUCUCCCUGCGGGGGAGGAGACAUUGGUCUACAAGAAAGGAAAUGGGCCAAUCAUUGACCUUUCCUUUCAAUAGUCAACAAAUGCAAAACAAGUGGAGGGGGGGGGGCGAAAAAAAGGAAAACUCGAGCAUCCGCCCCCAUCAGGUAUGCAAAGGACCCCCCACCAAGGGCAAAUCUUCAAAAAAGUGUGGAAAACUUAGCCCCUCCUCCUCUAAACUAGGGAUGCAUCAAGGACCCCAGUGAGAUCAUUUUACUGCAUUUACGUUUUUUACGUCAAAAUGACAUCAAGUCAAAUGAACUCAUCUCCAAAAUCCAGUUAUCAAUCAGGUUAUCAGCCUGGAACUUUUAAACCUAAAAAAUCUAAAUAUGGUGGAAACAAGGCCAAUCAAAACGGAAUUAAGAUAAUUAGUGAUCGUGUAGUGCAAUAUAACAGUGAUGAGAAAAGAUCAAUUGAAAAAAUAGUGAAAAAUGUGAAACUCCAACGACGUGAAAUUUCCAAGACAGCCCCUGUCAUAAAUAUUGACUUUGACCUCCAAACGGUUGAAAAGAUGAAGAAAAAAAACUCAACCAGACGAUUGGGCCAUAAAUCAGCCGGUAGCACUCAAAGUGGCUCUAAAAUCCUGAAAGUCAAUAAUAAAAAAACAAGUGAAAUCAUGCAAGUGAGUACAGAAGAAAAAAAGUUAUGGAUUAAUAUGUUAGAAAAAGAUCUUGAUUUAUUCAAUCAAGUGCACUACAUUGAUAAGAAAAAGGAUCUGAAUAAAAUACAGGCUCGCGAAAAACGUUUAAAACUCGCGGAAAAAAAGAAGGCCGACUUUAUCGCUCGCGAAAAACGUCGCGAACUAGCUAAGGAAAAACAAAGACAAUUUAGAGCUCGCGAAUCAGAAAAAAAUCGAUCCAAGGACAACACAUCGAAGGAUAUCAUCCCUGAGCCCAUGAUGGAAUUGGAUUCAUCGAUCGAGAUCAUUCCCAGCACUCCAUCAGUCAUCAAUUUAAUCCUGGAACGCGAGGGUGAAGAUGCUCAGCUUGGACCAUUGAAUUUCGCGACCUCAACCCCGAAAAAACCGCGAAAAACUAUCGAGGAAAUCGAGGCCGUUCUAGUCGCGUUGGGCGCGAAUCUAGAACAAAGGAAUCGCGGGGACGAUUACGAAGGGCGAUGGGCUCCAACGCAGCGCCAAAAAGAGCUUGAUCAAAUUGCGAUGCAACUGGAUCAAAGCGGGGAUGAUGAUGAUGAAGGAUUGGUCAUCCAGAGUCUUGAUUUCACCCCGUUAUCACCCAGUAACCGUUCGGGUUAAAAAUUCAUUAAACAUGUCUGUAUUUUUUUGAAUACCUGAAAUAAAAGUCAUACAUUUUAUUGCAUUACCUGUGAGUCUUGACUUUUUUUUAUUGCUAGGCAAGACCCAAUAUUCCCUCUCCUGUCCCCAGCCCUUUUUUUUCACGUAGAAGCUAGGAGAAAUUUCUCUCUCGCUUCUUCUUCGUCGGCGUCCUGUAGUCUUUCGUUUAUUGUCUCUUUCCUUCUCGUUGUUUAGAGGGUUUAGAGAACAAUUUUGACUUUUUCCUCGUCUUUCCUACAUAAAUCCUUACCCCCAUCUCCCUCUAACUUACGGUUUAGAGGGUUGAGGGCGAAAUAGUGGGGCAGAAGUUAUAUAAACCGUGAGGUUCCACUACUCGCCCUCUUUCACCAUCACCAUCCCCGACGACUAGUGCCUCGUCAAGUUUUAGUGUCUUUUUCGUGUUUUUUUGAUUUUAUUUAAAAAAAAAUGGUGAAAGUGACGUGUGCAGGAGCCUGCCAGGAGGAUUACGUCCGCGAGAUGCUGGCCACCAGGAGGGAGAGAGCCUACCUGAGGGAGGCAAAUACGUGGCUGCGCUGGGAGGACGCAGAGGGUGAAUCCCUGGAAGGCGAAAACAUUUUCGCCAUCCAGGAUUUGCACGCCAGGGCCGCCAAAUAGUUGGCGGAUGUCGAGGACGAGGCCUUCAUGCGCGGAGCUCACUGGGAGGGAGGUGUCGGCCCAGACACCCCGAGAGCGCGGUGGAUCCGCGCUCUGAGGCGCGAGUCGCGCCAGUUCGAGGCCGAGGGUGAGCAGGCGCUCACCCUGUACGACGUGUGGGAUGCCUGGAGUCUCAGGAUCCUCUUCGGGGAGGAGCCCGCCCAGCCUGACCUGAUGGAGGAGGACUGGUCCCUGGAGCAGUGGGACUGAGACCCCUGCCCCCCCCCUCCAACUUGAUUUAAAUUUAA